AUCACGAAUUGACAAAAAAUAUAUUACAUGCCCCCCAUCUAUGAACUACAGACCAUUACAAACUCUUCAAUUAUACUAAGGCAAGUGUAAAAAAUCUCAUCUAUAUGUCAAAAGUAAUAAUAUCUCAACCAACUUAACCACAACAUAUUAAUGAUAUUUAUAUUACUCAUGUUAGAACAUAUGCUAGAAAUUCUUUGUCCUGGUUUACAGACAUAAUUUUCUUAUUUAUUUAGGUCAUUCUUAAUUUUUUUUGUUUAAUUUUGUUUUUUAUUAAUCAGAAUAAAAAUGAUCUAAUACAUGAUUGGGAAAUUGUACAAUUAAAACAAAGCUGGCCCAGAAAUCCAAUGACCCAAUUAAAAGAAAAAGGUUCGGCCCAAUUGCUUGACUCUCUCUACAAUACUCCAUUAAAAGGAGUAGGGUUUUUUAAUUCAUCAGCAAACCUGAUCUUUAUAUUUCACCGCCUCCUUCAUCAUGCUCAGCUUCCUCAACCUCUAAUUUUUUCUUCUUCAGUUUUGGGUGAUCAACACCCUGCCUUUGCUACUCAUUUUGGAUGCUUCUAGCUUGCAUGAGUGAGUUAGCUUCUCUAUUUCUUCUUAUGAACUUCAUAUUUCGAUCUUGUGUUUUCUUCAGGUGAAAUCUUCAGUACUCUUUCCAUGGUUGUUUUUGGUGCUUAAAAGGAGGGUCUUGUCAUCUAAAACUUAUUUCUUUCUUCUUCUAUAGCGUGGAUGGAGAUACUGGGAAGCUCGGACCCAUUGAUAGUUGAAGAGGAACAAGAAAUUCAGUUGCUUGUAUUCAAUCUGACUUGGUGACCCCUGAUCUAUUGAGAUUUCCUUUUUGUUGGCUGGUGUAGAUAGGGAUAGCAUUUUCACUUUUUUGAGCUACCACAUUUUCAUACUUUUAUCAUGUCCCCUUUCUA